ACCUCAGACAAUGUUAAACAUGGAAUUUAACAUGGCAUUAAAUCCGGUGUUAAUAUGUUUAACACCGGCAUUAAAUCCGGUGUUAAUAUGUUUAACACCGGAUUUAAUGCCAUGUUAAAUUCCAUGUUUAACAUUGUCUGGGGUUUCAACAUCAGAUUUAACACUGUGUUUAACACCUGAUUUAACACUGUGUCGAAUGCCAAUACGUUACAGUCCUAGGAGUUAAACGUGGAAUUGUUUUGGCAUAUAUAUAGAAAUAUCACAGCCAAGGUGUGUGGUGAGAUGCGAACCUACAGCCUUCUGGCUAUGAGGCGAUGUCACAGACAGGGGCAGUAUACUUUCACAUACGUCUACACACACCCAAAGUAUACCUCCAGGUUGUGAGCGCGCUCGGUUGAAGAAACGUCACUUUUUCCUGCUGAAUAAAAGUGUUUUAACAGUGGAAAUAAUCUGUAUUUUACACAUACAAAAUGAAAAAUAAAUCUGUUUCCCAAAUCAUUUUCCAGCAUUCUGGAAUGUUGUUGGUGAAUAUUUUUGUGCUGAUGCCGGGAUUCUUUCAUUCAGAAUCCUUCCACUUCAAUCCCAUAAAAGUAGAGAAAGACUGGCCAGUGCGCCUCCGCUAUCCGUCAUGUUCAACGCUCAUAACGCCGACACGGAAAAACAAUGGCCCCAUUGACAAACAGACACACUGAACAUUGUUUUGUUCCAAACACUCCAAUCACAGCCACUGGUUUCCUGCCCUCAUUAUCUUCCCUCAUUUACUUUAAAUAGAAUGUGUGUCCUAUAUAACAAGGAUAAUAACAGUCAAGUGGAUUAUUACACAGUAAAGCGCGCUGCCUCCCUCCUCAUUGUGGAAAAUCCGCAUAAAAUUAUACACAUAAGCUAGAGAAAAA